UAUACGGCUUAUUGACCUAAUGUCUUUCGAUGAAUACGGACGGAGAUUAUCGCUGACCAAUGAAGCUCUUCCUCUUUCUUCUCAUUUCGUUGGUCCUUAUCAACAUUUCAUAUACGGAACCACGUUCGGCUUUUGUACAGAAACGUGGAGUGUUCAAACGCAGACUAGCUACCGGUUUUCGGUAUGGAUGGAGUUAUAAAUCCAAUUCUGGCAAACGUGGGGUGGACGGACAAGCAUCAUUUAAGAGAGAAGAAGGAGGAAACAGAAGACGGUUGUAGCAGUGGUGUAAAAAAGCAGUGACAUUAUCGAAACCAUUAUUUAGACACUGAUCAAUUUUGGAGUCAAUGUUUUUCCUGUAAAGGCUCUACUGCAAAUAAACAAAUAAGUGAUUUCAU